rnacentral:rRNA from 1 species
UACGGAGGGUGCAAGCGUUAUCCGGAUUCACUGGGUUUAAAGGGUGCGUAGGCGGAUUGGUAAGUCCGUGGUGAAAUCUCCAGCUUAACUUGGAAACUGCCAUGGAUACUAUUAGUCUUGAAUAUUGUGGAGGUUAGCGGAAUAUGUCAUGUAGCGGUGAAAUGCAUAGAUAUGACAUAGAACACCAAUUGCGAAGGCAGCUGGCUACACAAAUAUUGACGCUGAUGCACGAAAGCGUGGGGAUCAAACAGG